GGGGCUGCACUGGUUUCGACGUGGGUUCGGACGCGUGGCAGGGCAUGUCGAGCUGAAUGUGCUCGUAAAACUGAUUCAAACAAAGUAACUGCAAACGACGAACGUUUCGCACUCGCCGCUUAAUUGCCGGUGAGCUUCGCAACAGCAGGCCUAUGGGCUGGGCAAGGGUCUCUCCGGAGGUCCAGGCUGCGAAGAUAAUUUCAUAGGCUGGUCUUGCGCCGGGUCACUUGGCGUGGGACGAGAAAAUAGGUGACUGGCGUUCUGGAUUGCGUGCCGCUGCGCGGUCCAGGAGGCGAGACCUAACCAGACGGCUACACAUGUAGAACUGUACGAAGAAGGCUUGCGGACGCGGGUUCAAUUCCCGCCAGCUCCACCA
rnacentral:sRNA from 1 species